GGCUUUCAUACAGAGCACUGGGAUACUGCAAACUGAGGGGCUGUAACCUCAGAAGGGAGCAAACCAGAUGAGUGACAGCUGGUUACUUUUUUGAUGACGGUGAGAAAUUGCAUGUGGUUGUCCAAGGAUGUCUGGUCUCCUUCCCUUUACCCCCAGUCAACACUGGUGAGGAUGCACUUGGUGUUCUGGGUCCCUCAGACAAGAAAUGCAUGGAUGUACUGAAGAGUGUUCAAGAGAAGGACACCGAAAUGGCAAGUGCCAGGAGUACUCCUGCUAUGAGGAAGGGCUGAGAGAGCCAGGGCUGCUCGGCUGGAGAAGAGGACACACAGGGGGAUGUCAUCAGUGCCCAUAAGUGUCUGAAGGAAAGGUGCCAAGAGGCUACAGCCAGGCUCUGUCAGUGGUGCCCGGUGCCAGAACCAGAGGCCAUGGGCACAAACUGGAGCACAGGAGGUUCCCUCUAAAC